AUUGAACUUGCAUUUUUGUCUUAGUGUGGGUGCUAUAUUAAGAAAUUGAGUGGUGAAAAUGUGUGUGUAUCACUUGGUGAGUUAUACUUCACUUCAUUUCCUCUCUAAUAGUUUUGUUAUUUUCCACUUGGUGAGUUAUCAUGCAUGGGAAUUGAAGAACAUCAUCACAAUACAAAAGGUUCAAGAAGAAAACUUGCACUCAUGAAGGAGGAGAGCAGAAAUUUAUAUAUAUACACAUAUUGUUGGACUCAGUAAUUGCGUUGAUGAUCAUUUUUUGUUCAGUAGAUUUCUCUCCAUAUAGGAUGUGAAGAAGGGGAUAAUCCAGAUAUGAUGAGAUGGAAUAUAAAAUACAUAAGUUUAUUAAGACCAUGAUAGUUAUAUGUAUGCAAAAGCAAACUAUAUAGAGGAGGAACCACCCAAUUUUGGAGAACAAUUUGAGUUCAACUAAUAAAGAUGAAGAGCAAAUGCCUUUGAGGACCAUGAUGCCAAUUUUCUUUGGAGGGAGUUCCUCUCUUUGAGUGCAAGUGCAGGUGAAGAAGAAGAAAAGGGUUUGUGUUUGUUGUUGGAAUCAGAAUUAUCCAUGAUGAUUCCUUGCAAAGAAUCUUUGACCCUCUGGAAAGAAAAGUUGAGAAGAGCAGAGUAGCCUCUCAUGGAGAAUGCAGCUUGAUCAUAAGCCAAAGCAGCAUCUUCAGCACUCUCGAAUG